rnacentral:rRNA from 1 species
CCCUAGUACGGCGAGUGAAGCGGCAACAGCUCAAAUUUGAAACAGGCUCCCUUGGGGGUCCGAGUUGUAAUUUGUAGAGGGUGCUUUGGUAUUAGCUGUGGUCUAAGACCCUUGGAACAGGGCGUCACAGAGGGUGAGAAUCCCGUAUGUGGCCAGCAGCUCUUGCCUUGUAAAGCCCCUUCGACGAGUCGAGUUGUUUGGGAAUGCAGCUCUAAAUGGGAGGUAAAUUUCUUCUAAAGCUAAAUACUGGCCAGAGACCGAUAGCGCACAAGUAGAGUGAUCGAAAGAUGAAAAGCACUUUGGAAAGAGAGUCAAAAAGCACGUGAAAUUGUUGAAAGGGAAGCGCUUGCAGCCAGACUUGCCCGUAGUUGUUCAUCUAGGCUUUUGCCUAGUGCACUCUUCUGCGGGCAGGCCAGCAUCAGUCCAGGCGGUCGGAUAAAGGCCUUGGGAAUGUGGCUCCUUUCGGGGAGUGUUAUAGCCCAGGGUGCCAUGCGGCCAGCCUGAACUGAGGUCCGCGCUUCUGCUAGGAUGCUGGCGUAAUGGCUGUAAGCGGCCCGUCUUGAAACACGGACCAAGGAGUCUAACAUCUAUGCGAGUGUUUGGGUGUCAAGCCCGAGCGCGCAAUGAAAGUGAACGGAGGUGGGAACCCCUCGGGUGCACCAUCGACCGAUCCUGAUGUCUUCGGAUGGAUUUGAGUAAGAGCAUAGCUGUUGGGACCCGAAAGAUGGUGAACUAUGCCUGAAUAGGGUGAAGCCAGAGGAAACUCUGG